rnacentral:rRNA from 1 species
GACGAACGCUGGCGGCGUGCUUAACACAUGCAAGUCGAACGAAAAGGCCCGGCUUCUUGGGGGUGCUCGUGUGGCGAACGGGCGGGUAACAAACGCGUAACCAACCCUCGACUUUGGGAUAACUUAAGGAAGCUGGGGACAAUAACGGCCACGUACGCCCGAUGCACGGCGGGGGGGGGGAAGGUACGGCGGCCGGGGAUGGACUUGCGUCUGAUCAGCUAGUGGGUGGGUUAGAGGCCUACCAAGGCUAGGAUGGGUAGCCGGUCUGAGAGGGUGAACGGCCACAGUGGGACUGAGACACGGCCCGGACGCCUACGGGAGGCAGCAGUGGGGAAUCUUCCGCAAUGGACGAAAGUCUGACGGAGCAACGCCGCGUGAGUGAUGACGGCCUUCGGGUUGUAAAGCUCGGUUAAUCGGGACGAAAGGCCUUCUUGCGAAUAGUGAGAAGGAUUGACGGUACCGGAAUAGAAAGCCACGGCUAACUACGUG